UUCCCUCAUAGCACAGGGAUGGAACCCAGCCAAGUUGCCAUAGCAACACCCCAUACCUUUUCUAUCCCUUGACCCAGUUUUUCACUUUUGCUCUCCCAGUUCCCUCCACCUGCCCCACUUUGGGCUGGGGGAUGGAGCUGUGCCAGCCCACCACAACACCCUUGUUCUUCACACCCUUACAGGAAGAUUGUUUUGCAGUGGAAAUGUGGUGAAAGGUCAGUAGGGAAAGGUGUCUUUGUCUGUCAGCCUGGAGCGGGCCUGAGAGGUGUCCAAGGAAACUGAACAUGGACACCUACACUCCAGGGAAAGGGCAGAGCAGCUCUGGCCACACUCAUGGAGGCACUGGAAGGGGCAAGACAAAGGCUGCACCAGAAGAGUCCUGCAGCACUCGAAGAGCAGGACACUGCCAUAGCUCUUACAAGAGCUCCAGCCUCCUGUGUGCAGCUCCUGCUGAAGCACCACUGCAGAGACUGAAUGGGAUGGAUGCCUCAGGUUUAGCUUUUAUACAUUUCAGAUUCUGUGCUGCUUUAGUGUGUAAGUGUAGGCAUCACAUUAAGGGAUGGUGAGCUCUCUUCACAGAGCAGGGAGACAAAACAAUUCCUUCUCUAGCUGGGAACCAAGGAUAACCACCCAAAUUUCAGGCCCAAGAUGAUAAACAAUAGUGAAUUGAAGAAGAAAAACGAGGAGGGUGGGACUUCAUAACCUAAAGCUGUAAUUUGACAAUUAACUCCAAUAUGCAAAUUGAGCAGAACUUAUCAAAGUGAGAGACACUGUAACCAGUCAUGCAUUUUUUGUGACCAUUUUGGUUCAUCUUGGGCGCAGCCCUGGCUGGGCUCUUGUGCUGCCCAAGGUGGAUCCCUUGAGGCCUUUUAAUAAAUCUCUGCUUUAUUCUUUAGCUCUCUCUGGCCCCUGUUCUAGGUCAGCUUCUCAAGGCAUCAGGAUCAAGGAGAGUCCCCUGAACUUCACUGCAUGGCCAGACCCUGUAAACUCAGCUCCUUCCACCCCCUGCUGCAGGGUCACUGACAGCUCAUCAGCCUCUGUGGAGGUCACCAUCUUCACAUCCCUCCCACCAGCCAUUCCAGACUGGACGUAGCAUCAGGUGCCACCUUCCUUGGCGGGGGUGACCACAGCCAGGUGCCCCUUGCCCUCUCCUGUGGCCCAGGCCGGGGUUCUCCAUCCUUGCAGGGAGAGCACAUUGCUGGCUCGUGUCCAGUGUGGUGCCUGCCACCCUUCCCAGAUCAUUUCCAGUAAGGCUGUUGUGCCACAGCUGCUAAUCCG